CACUGAGCAAAGAAUUGCCCAUCUGGGAUAUCAUUCUCCUCCGGGAAAGGGUCUCCAAUCACCUCUCAUAAGGAGACAUGUCCUGCUGCCUCACUGCAGUGGCCUCAGGGGUAAGGAAUCGGAACCCACCCAGUGUGAAGAAUAAACCUGGACUCUCGGCAACACAGGAAGAAAAAGCCUACAGUACAGAUACCACGGCGACAAGGACUCAAGGCCUCCUAGCGAGAUUACAUCCUUGUCAAAGGUUGGAAAGAGGGAAAGCUCAAACCCACCUGGGAAGGACCUUACCUGGUACUCCUAACAACUGAAACAGCAGUCCAGAAAGCCGAAAAAGGGUGAACCCACCACACAAGUGAAGAAGGCCCCACCUCUGGCAAAGUCAUGGACCAUCACUCCAGGACCAACAGCCUCAAAACUAACAUUCAAACGGAUGGCCAACAGAUCGUCUUCAGCAUGCACUCCUCUGGAAUGUAUUUUAAAGCACUGGGACUCCUUCAACCCUGAAACUUUGAAAAAAAAGUGACUCAUAUUCUAUUGCACAAGAGCAUAGCCUUCUUACUAUCUUGGGGACAGAUAAACCUGGCCCGCUGCGGGGAGCCUUGAUUUUAAUAUUAUCCAACAGUUAGAUCUUUUCUCCAAACAGAAGGGCAAAUGGACUGAGAUCCCCUAUGUACAGACUUUCUUUGCCCUGUGAAACAGCCCAGACCUUUACAAGUUCUGUACAAUCGACCCAGUUCUUUUAGCGGCCACAGGGAAUCGUUCCCCAGAGCUAAAGCAGGUUCCAGAGGAGCAAUCUGAAACAGCUAUUGAAUGUCCCAAUCCUUCCAGUCCCCCUCCAAUCAUACUAUCAGCUCCUCCAGCUCCACUAUCUCCAGUAUAUCCUACUCUCCCCGCUUCAUUCUUACCUCUGCAGGAAAUGGCUGAUAGGAAUGGUGCCAUGAGGGUUCAAGUUUCCUUCUCAUUACAGGACCUUAAGCAAAUAAACAGAGACUUGGCCCAAUUUUCUGAUGACUCCGAUAUAUAUAGAAGUUUUCCAAAAUUUAACUCAGGUGUUUGAUCUCACAUAGAGGGAUGUUAUGUUGCUGCUAAGUCAGACCCUCACUGGGGCUGAAAAGCCGGCAGUUCCACAGGCAGCAGAAAAAUAUGGAUAUAAGCAACAUGCCUCCUGUAGCAGACCAAGGAGAAAAAGAGGAGACAAGGAAGGUACAGGAAUCGACCGACUCCUGGAAACAUCACACUCAAGUCAAAGCCUGGAGAGCUGAGGGAGCAACCCCCAACAGCCCAGAGGAAAGUCUUGAAUAGCAAUGUGAAGAAAUGGAAGAUCUUAAGCUGAAAAUCAUAAAAGAUAAGUAACUAUAUGAGAACUAAUCAUCUUAUUCAGUCUCACCCCUACCUCAACAAAUACUUUUUGUCAUUUCUACCUCUCCUUUUGAGCCAAAUAUCAGAACUUCUUUUUGGUGGAAAUUAUUUACUACUCCAACCUUGCAGGAAUUGCUAUACUCACUCUGCUAUUUGCAGUAGAACUAUAUACUGUAGCACCCUCAGGGUGGAAUGUCAGAGAGAGAAUCUCAAUUACUACAGCAUUUUGCUUAAUUAUUAACCUCAUAGCAGGAAUAACAGUUACUAACAGGAAGUAAACAUGAGCAUUUUACUAU